UCACUCGGUGCCGCUGCUUGGGGGCUGUAGUGACCGCGCCGCUCCUGCUGGGGGCUGCCCUUGCCAAGGACCUACCUCUGUCGUCUCCUCUUCCGCCGCCCAGUUUCC
rnacentral:lncRNA from 1 species